rnacentral:rRNA from 1 species
CCUACGGGUGGCAGCAGUGGGGAAUAUUGCACAAUGGGCGCAAGCCUGAUGCAGCCAUGCCGCGUGUGUGAAGAAGGCCUUCGGGUUGUAAAGCACUUUCAGCGGGGAGGAAGGCGGUGAGGUUAAUAACCUCAUCGAUUGACGUUACCCGCAGAAGAAGCACCGGCUAACUCCGUGCCAGCAGCCGCGGUAAUACGGAGGGUGCAAGCGUUAAUCGGAAUUACUGGGCGUAAAGCGCACGCAGGCGGUCUGUCAAGUCGGAUGUGAAAUCCCCGGGCUCAACCUGGGAACUGCAUUCGAAACUGGCAGGCUAGAGUCUUGUAGAGGGGGGUAGAAUUCCAGGUGUAGCGGUGAAAUGCGUAGAGAUCUGGAGGAAUACCGGUGGCGAAGGCGGCCCCCUGGACAAAGACUGACGCUCAGGUGCGAAAGCGUGGGGAGCAAACAGGAUUAGAUACCCCAUAGUC